GACGAACGCUGGCGGCGUGCCUAAUACAUGCAAGUAGAACGCUGAAGACUUUAGCCUGCUAAAGUUGGAAGAGUUGCGAACGGGUGAGUAACGCGUAGGUAACCUGCCUACCAGCGGGGGAUAACUAUUGGAAACGAUAGCUAAUACCGCAUAACAGCUUUUAACUCAUGUUAGGAGCUUGAAAGGUGCAAUUGCAUCACUAGUAGAUGGACCUGCGUUGUAUUAGCUAGUUGGUGAGGUAACGGCUCACCAAGGCGACGAUACAUAGCCGACCUGGGAGGGUGAUCGGCCACACUGGGACUGAGACACGGCCCAGACUCCUACGGGAGGCAGCAGUAGGGAAUCUUCGGCAAUGGGGGCAACCCUGACCGAGCAACGCCGCGUGAGUGAAGAAGGUUUUCGGAUCGUAAAGCUCUGUUGUAAGAGAAGAACGUGUGUGAGAGUGGAAAGUUCACACAGUGACGGUAACUUACCAGAAAGGGACGGCUAACUACGUGCCAGCCGCCGCCGUUA
rnacentral:rRNA from 1 species